UCUAAGUUCCAUGCACCAAGACGUGAUGAUCGGUGACGGCAGAAAGAGGAAACCCAACACGAUAACAGACUAUAACCACAUGAAGUGUGGUGUAGACGUGUUGGACCAAAUGACAUGGAUGUAUUCCGUAAGAUCAGCAACACGCAGGUGGCCAGUAGCGGUUUUUUACAAUAUGCUGGAUUUGGCGGCAGUGAAUGCCUACAUUUUGUACAAGGCAUGUACAGGGUGGACAGGCAAAAGAAGAUUGUUUCUGAGUCUUCUAGCUCAGCAACUUCGUUGCCGAUUCAUGCAGCACAAGGAAAUAUUAGCACAGAGGCAGGCUGCUGCAGCUGCUGUGCCGGGGACUGUAAAGACAACGCAGUGCCAGGUGCAAGAGAGCUGCAACAGGAAUCGCAGCAGGUUUACCUGUGCAACUUGUCAGAAAUUCACCUGUGGCAAAUGCAGGGAUGAUGGACACUGGGUCUGCAAACGCUGUAAAGUUUGAAACACUUUGAAAUAAAACAGACUUGUGUACCCAUA